rnacentral:RNase_P_RNA from 1 species
AGCAGGCCGAGCAGCCGCGGGCACAAGCCGAAAGGCUGUGCGUGAGGAAAGUCCGGGCUCCACAGGGCAAGGAUAACGGGUAACACCCGCCAGGGGCGACCCUCGGACAAGUGCAACAGAGAGAUACCGCCGCGUCACAAAUCCGACUGCAGCCCGCUGCAGUCGGAGGAGGAGAUGCAGCGAAAUGCGUAAGCUCCGCCGCUUGCGGCAGAGCGAACGAUAUGGAGCUUGCAUCGACGCGGUAAGGGUGGAAAAGUGAGGUAAGAGCUCACUCGUCGGCUGGAGACAGUUCGAUGCUGUAAACUCUAUCCGGAGCAACACCGCGGAGGGACAUCAGGCCGGCCCGGCCGUCCCAUGGAGGUGGCUGGAACGCACCGGCAACGGUGCGUCUAGAUAGAUGGCUGCUUAAGACAGAACCCGGCUUACAGACCUGCUCGU